GAUGAACGCUGGCGGCGUGCUUAACACAUGCAAGUCGAACGAAGCAGUUUAUUACGAUCCCUUCGGGGUGACGAUUUACUGACUGAGUGGCGGACGGGUGAGUAACGCGUGGGUAACCUGCCUUGUACAGGGGGACAACAGUUGGAAACGACUGCUAAUACCGCAUAAGCGCACAGCAUCGCAUGAUGCAGUGUGAAAAGUUUUUUCGGUACAAGAUGGACCCGCGUCUGAUUAGCUAGUUGGUGAGGUAACGGCCCACCAAGGCGACGAUCAGUAGCCGACCUGAGAGGGUGACCGGCCACAUUGGGACUGAGACACGGCCCAAACUCCUACGGGAGGCAGCAGUGGGGAAUAUUGCACAAUGGGCGCAAGCCUGAUGCAGCGACGCCGCGUGAGCGAAGAAGUAUUUCGGUAUGUAAAGCUCUAUCAGCAGGGAAGAUAAUGACGGUAC
rnacentral:rRNA from 1 species